GGAAGGUCCAGCAAAGUGUCACGCCGCCUUUGCACGGCGGAGGUCAGGGGUUCGAAUCCCCUCGGCUCCA
rnacentral:tRNA from 1 species